AAGAUUCUACUUUUCUAACAAGCUUUUCGCUGAUUUGAUGCUGUUGAUUCAUGGACCGUCCUUUGAAGAGCAGAGCAGACGGUGGGCCAGUUAGUGCUGGAUCCAGUUAUGAUCUCCUCUACUUGUUGUAAAGUAUUUAAUACAGCACCUGGCAUAGGGUCAGCCCGUCACUAUUACUGCUUUAUUAUCUGUGUAGGAUAAACCGGAAAACUUAUCCUUGAUGCACUGUUUAAUAUUAUCAAAACUGGGACGAAGUUGAUCCUCAUCUUCAAGGACGUGAUUCUAGAUGAGCAGCAGAUGUGGUUACGUCCUAAACCUACUGGAUGGAUCUGGUGUCAAGUCUCCUCUGGACAGCCGGUGACGCUGAUGGGCCCCCACCGCCACAAAGAACAUCAAUCAGGGAGGACUUCAGGGGGGAGUAAUCACAUAUCUUGAAAAGAGAAUAAUAGCCAGAAGCCCCUGAAGUUCUCACCAUGAAGCACCAUGGCUCCAACACUCAGAACCCCGCUCAGGACAAAGGACUCUGAGCAGAUACCAAACGGUGGAACCUGGGGUGGUCUUAUCUGCAGGGCUUUCUGCUUUUUAUUGACCGUUGGCAGACUAGGAGGAAGACAGGAGACAACAGGGAUUCUGUACCUAAGGCGGCAAC
rnacentral:lncRNA from 1 species